UGAAUUUUGUGUGUCUCUUGUCCGAGUCUUAGCAUUGGGGACGUUCGCCGUUCAAGCACAGACUGCUAAACGCUCAGUGACGGAUUUCAUACGAUUGUGCCGAUUAUUUGUGAUUUUCAUCCAUAAAUUCACCCGUCAUGCCGAUAUAUAAUAUCUGAGCACAGCAGGGCAACACGUCUCAAGCUUUUCAUACUCAAAUGAUACGCGGAAAUGGAUUCCCAUUUCCGGUUUCACAGGAACAGUGUUCCUUUUGGUUAUGAUAACGAUCAGACCCAAUCCAGAUUCAAUCCAAAGACAGACCUGGCUCUACCAACUCGGCUAUUGAUGCUGAUCAAGAAUAUAGUACAUACAUA
rnacentral:sRNA from 1 species